rnacentral:rRNA from 1 species
CGAACAAACGCUGGCGGCGUGCCUAACACAUGCAAGUCGUACGAGAAAGUCGGCUUCGGCCGAUGAGUACAGUGGCGCACGGGUGAGUAGCGCGUGGGUAAUCUGCCCCCCGGUCAGGAAUAACCCGCCGAAAGGCGGGCUAAUACCCGAUAACACUGACGCUCCGCGGAGCGUCUUUCAAAGAAGGCCUCUGUUUACAAGCUUUCGCCGGAGGAUGAGCCCGCGUACCAUUAGCUAGUUGGCAGGGUAAUGGCCUACCAAGGCUACGAUGGUUAGCUGGUCUGAGAGGAUGGCCAGCCACACUGGAACUGAGACACGGUCCAGACUCCUACGGGAGGCAGCAGUGAGGAAUAUUGGUCAAUGGACGAGAGUCUGAACCAGCCAAGUCGCGUGAAGGAAGACGGCCCUACGGGUUGUAAACUUCUUUUGUAAGGGAAUAAAUAGUCUUACGCGCUAAGACGUUGCAGGUACCUUACGAAUAAGGAUCGGCUAACUCCGUG